rnacentral:misc_RNA from 1 species
CUUGCCAUAUCUGAUGUAUGAUUAUAUUAAAUUUUAACAUUAUAUAUCUUAUGAUGAGAGACAUUUAAAUCCUUGUUUGCCACUAGACCUGGAAAAUUUUAUGAUGAUCUUCAUGGUUGAUUACCUCUGUGGAUUUUAUGUUGCAUUAUUAAAAUUCCCAGUUUCCAGUUAGGACAUACUGUUUGUUCAUUCUGUUUCUAACCCGCAUUAAUUGUUUAUUGCUCUUCUUGCAACUGGUUUGUGCCCUUUAGAAGCCAAGGCUGUUGAGGAAGG